rnacentral:piRNA from 1 species
UGAGUUGCCAUCUUGUCUUCAUGAGUC